GCCGUGGACACGCACAGUGCAGCGGCGCUUGCCGCGCCUGAUACGAACUGCAAGAAAUGGCGGUGGUGUGCUGUCGGGACAGUUUGGCGGGAACCGUUACGACGAGGCGGAGUGGUGGAGUUGCUAGGAGGCGCAAAGGUCUGUGCUGCAUAUUUAUGUGCUCGUUACGGUUGUUCAGUGAAACCAAAAAUAUCAUUAUGUCGGGUAGGAAUAUUCAACUGUAUUCAGUUGAAUUCAGGCACGCCUGCCAAACUCGCUCCACAAAGACAAUUACUGCUUAUAUAGUCCGAUAGCUUAAUUUGGGUGCCAUCCCGGCGGAUUUGUUUCCAGCGCGCGUAAUAGAGCAAUCUAAAUGGCGGAAUGAUGGCAGUUUUUCCGUCAAAUUGCGGAUCACGAGGCAAAGGGCGAAAAGACAAGUCGUGUUACUACGUCAUUUACGCUGUCUUAAGUUCUGCGCGGUGCAAAUUUAUGUUACCUUUGUAACAUAAAUUUUGCUUCUCAACACAGAAUUUAUCACAUCCUGUGGUUUGAACGGUAAUGUUUAUACAUGGUAGCAGCAUUACAAAAACACAUUGUGAAUACAUUCGUUAUGUAUUUUGUUAUGUGAGAUGUAUAAUAGCAUAUUUAUAACCAUUCCAUAUUGAGCACUCGAUUCCCGCAUAAACUGGAGAGGCCACUAGCAUGUCAGGUAUAUACCGCCUAUUAUUUCAACGUUGACUCAUGCUAUUUCCGAAAGCAUUCAUGCGAUCUGUGAGUGCAAUGAGGAAAACGCGGCUGCUUUGGAUGAAAAAGUAUCUGAGAAGCCUGCAGAAAGUGACCACGCUUCCAGCAACCCAAUCCCUUGUCCUGAUGCACUACUUGAACUGAAGGACAUGGUCACAGAUCCCUUUUGCAUGGACCUUGGGCGAAUGAAAAUGCUUUUGGCCGAAACUGCAGAGGCCCGCAGCUCCAAUGCAGCAGAUGAUUUGCCGUCAUACUUUUUAAAUCCUGACGUGGCACAAGAACUUGGCAACAGGUCUCCACCAGGCCCAUGCAUUUUGAAAUAGAAUGGCAACUUCAAAAUUGCCUGCAAGGAAAACAUUGUGGCGUUACCACCCUGCAUCAUCACCUGACAAGGCAGUCAUCCUUCUGUUGACUGUAUAUUUUAUUUUAAACCUGUCAUACCCAUACGCUUUUGGACAGUUUUUGGGACUUGUGCAGGCAGUUUUUGUGAAGGGUGAGCCAUUUGACAGUGGCUUGAUGUCGUUUAAGGUAAAGUCUCUGUUGAAGAACCUGAAGCGGUCAGGCCUAAUAUUGACGUGCUAACUGUUUGGUAGGUAGAAGCAGCAUGCCAGCUGCAACAUUGUGAAGCCGUGCCUUCUUUUAUGAUUUUUUAUCACCGAGGCAAGGCUCUGGCUGCAGGUUUCAAAGCUGGCUUGUUUUUUUAAGCUAUCUCACUUGUAUUUUUCAAGGCUGAGUUGUUUGGUUAUUUAAAGAUUUCUCACUUGUUUUCCAGAGUCUCUUACCUUUAUAUUUUGCUGUUGCCUUGUUGACUUUAAAAUGUUGGUUUUGGCACGUAAAACCCCAGAAAGAAGACUUUAAAAUGUGCAACAUGCUUCCAGAUAUAUUUGGGGCAUAAAAUUUUAUAAACAUUUACACUAGCUUUCAUGGUAGUGUUUGGGAUGAGUUAUCCCAAACUACACAAUGCUGGGGCAAAUAACCUGCCUGGAGUGGGAGGCUUUUUCAGGGGCUUAUUAAGUGUUUUGAUCACAAUUAGCUUUGUAUUAGACGUACAUCUGUUAUCUGCCAACUGUAUUGAUUCUAGUGUUCAUGUUUUUGUUGUGAUAUUUGCCACAUGCUUCUGGCAAGUUUUUGUGUGCAAAUGUUUCAUUGUUUAUUUUGGCUUGCACUGUCUUUUCUGUUUAAUAACUUAUCGACUACAUUCUUCAUUGGUCUUCUCUUAAUUCAACUCUGUAAGCCCAUUGUUUUAUGCAUUUUUCAUAAAAUUCUUAGAGUACUGAAUUCUUUUGGAACGGGGAUGCGUAAACUCGGUAAAUGGCAUAUGGGUACUUGCGCAUUUCAGUUACCUUAUUUCCUGUGAUAAGCCAGCUUAUUUUAUAGCCUUGUUUAAUGUUUCUUUUUUCCCGUAGCCGAUGUGCAAGUUUAUUUGAAUGUGGUGCACUUAUGUCUCGGAUCAUUUUUAUUACCCACUUAUUAAUAUAGGCGCAUACAAGUGAAUGCCACUUAAUGCCUGGUCUCUCUUCUUUUUGGUAUUUGUUCCUUGUUG